GCCCCUUCCUGAUACAUAGAGGGGGGAAAUACCACCCUGAUAGAACUAGAAAUGGGAAGUGUUGAGGAUUCUGCUGUGUCUCAGGCAUGGAAUUUAGAUCCUGGGGGCGGGAUGUAGCAGAGAGAGAUUCUUCAAGAAAAGACAAGCUGCACAGCUGCAAGGAGUGAAUUGUGAGACUGACAACUUCCAGAAGUCACUCUUUUCCGGGAGCAGGAGCUAGCCAAUGACUGAACAGUGAUUCACAGGGCCGGCUAUUUCCACCCAAUGUGUACUCCUCUGGAGAGCAGUCAUGGCUCCUGACCUCCCUGUUGGGCUCCAUCAGAUGGCAUCGCAAUCUGAUGAUUUCCCCACCCAUUUCUGCGUUCUUCACUCUUGCACUCCUACUCAGUCUCUAUAUUUGCUUCUCAGAGAACCCAAUGAUCACAGGCAAGCCACAUGGACUUCCUCAUAGGGAAGCUUACAAUAUGGCACCUCACUUUCAUUAUGGAGAGCAAGCAAGAGAGUAAGAGAAGAUAUAAUAACCUAUUUCUGAAGUAAUACGGAUAAUUCUGUGACAAAUCCACUUCAGCCUUGGUAAUGCCCUUCGUUUUGACUUCAAAACAUUCACUGGCUCUCAUGGAUUUGUACUAUUUAACACCCAGAUAAAGGUCACGGACUUGGGAAAUGACCUAAGCAGGAGCUGAAUUCCAUCCCUGGUCUGUUUGGCUCCCAAGCCAUGCUCUUAACCUCUAUAUUCUAGUACUUCCGGAGAAAAGUCAUGAGAAUGAGCAGGGCAUAUGUGAAGAUAGCCUGACUGAAGAAGAAGAGUUCAUGUUGAGUGUGGAGGAAAACAAAGGUCAACAGGCAGAUUGGGACCAAGUUAGAGAGUGCCUGGAAACUCACGAAAAAUUAGAUUUGAUGUAAUAAGAAAUGAGACUU